AGACCUUGACAGUUGUAACCGAUAGACUGGGCUGGGGCAACGCUGAUGAAAGGCAAAUUCCUGAGAGAAAAAUCACCCAGAUUUUUCAGUGCCUUCUCUAGCUUUCUAGAAGUUGUUAUGAGUGGACCUGACUACCUAGAGAGAGUAAUACAGAAGCUCCGUGCCGAUCACAGCUACCUCAUUACCAUGUUCCUCCAAGAUGGCCGCCCCUGAGGAGAAUCAUCAACUGGGCUUUACGGAAGAGAGAAAUCCAAACGACCAUCAGCAACAAAUGAAAGACUGAAGUUGAAAGGAAAUCCAUAAUUUUUGAAUGCUGGCCGAGGUCUGUGACCUCUGACUGAAUGGUUUCCAAGCUCCGAAUUCCUAGGUGAUGUUUUCAUUUGUUCACACUUGCUGAAGAAGGGAAAGGCUCUCUGAUUUACGUGUAAGCAAAACAAUCUAAACAGUAGGAUAAAAUCAUGUUGGAAUGGAGUUCUGUGUGGAUGCUCCUUUGAACCAAAUCAGUUCCACAACUGACCCUGUCAGGGACAUAUAAAUUUAGCAUUUUGGUGUGGAUACAGAAGACGAGAUUAACACAGAUCAAGUAACAUGGAAAUAAAAAAGGAGACAAUGCUGGAUGAUACAGGGGCAGCCAACAAGAGGAGAAAACCCAAGCAUUGGCAAAUGCCUCAUUAUCCAAAGAACACUGAGGUGUGGAGCAAAACUGUGUUGAAUGAACUGUAGAUGGAAAUUCUCUCCUUCCCACCGAGGAGCCGCUGCAGGUUGCAGACUCCCAGAAUGCCACACUGAGAAGAGGAGGGCUAAAAUUCUAGAGCAGAAUCCCUGGGGCAGCCCCUGCUGAAGAAGGGUGCAUCUGUUGAGAAUCUCAUCACCGCCCCCACCCCGCCCAGCCUUCAAUUUAGAGGAAUUUCUAGUUCACGCAGAAUGAAGACAAGAUCACAUAAGUGAGGACGACGCCCCAUUUACAAGUGUGAUUUGGAAGACUGAAGUGGAAACCUUGGGAAGGGGCCUCAGAGUAUGUCAGCUGGGGUCAGACGGGAACAGGAGUCUGGCUCAACACACAUUUAUUGCACUCCUGUUUCAUGCCAAGAAAUGUACCAAAAUCUGGGACUGUGUAACACAGCAAAGGAAAAGACUCAUCUCCAGGAAGCCCCCUUGUCUAGGAAGAGAAAUUGAAUAUCAGCAUAAGGUGGUGAAAAGCUGUGAAGGAGAUGAGUGCCAGGAGUCCAUGGAGGAAGGAUUCUAGCCUGGACAGGUGAUUGUGGUGAAUAGUCAUGAGAAUCUGGGAACUGGCUCCUGCUCUGUCUAUCUUGGAGAUGCAUCUUUUAGUCUCCAUGAAUUGCAAGGGAAAACAAGUGGUACACUGGUAUUUCUAUUUGAUAACCUGUUCUCUUUGGAAUUCCGGUUAGAAAUCAAAGGCUUACUUGAGUUUUAAUGCUUUCGGGACUUCAAAUGCUUUUCUAUCUUCCUAAUAAUAUAUUAACAUUUUCUGAAGACAACAUAUAUGUGGAAAACAACAUUAUUUACUCAAAUAAUUUUUUUUGAAAAAUGGACCAAAAAAAAAGAAAAACCAACAAAAA
rnacentral:lncRNA from 1 species